rnacentral:rRNA from 1 species
AACGAACGCUGGCGGCAGGCCUAACACAUGCAAGUCGAACGCUCCGCAAGGGGAGUGGCGCACGGGUGAGUAACACGUGGGAACCUACCUUCUGGUACGGAACAACCAAGGGAAACUCUGGCUGAUACCGUAUACGACCUCCGGGUGAAAGAUUGAUCGCCGGAAGAGGGGCCCGCGUCCGAUUAGGUAGUUGGUGAGGUAACGGCUCACCAAGCCUGCGAUCGGUAGCUGGUCUGAGAGGAUGACCAGCCACACUGGGACUGAGACACGGCCCAGACUCCUACGGGAGGCAGCAGUGGGGAAUAUUGGACAAUGGGCGGCAAGCCUGAUCCAGCCAUGCCGCGUGAGUGAUGAAGGCCUUCGGUUGUAAGUA